AUGGGCUCGCCGCACACCCUUGGUGUGGAACGUGCUUUUGGUGUGCUUCAAUCCCGAUGGGGUAUCGUUCAAAACCCUGCACUGUUAUGGGAUGAAAGGAAGCUUUGGGAGGUGAUGACUGCUUGUGUGAUCAUGCACAACAUGAUCAUCGAGGACGAGCGUGAUGACAAUAUCUUCGACCAAGGAUUUGAUUAUCAAGGUGAAAAUGUUGAGCCCCUGCACCAAGAACCGGCCAUGUUUGAACAGUUUGUCCAAUUCCAUCGUGAGCUGCGUGAUUGGCACACUCAUUUGGAUCUUCAAAAUGACUUGGUUGAGCAUGUGUGGGAUCACAUUGUGUCGGGGGUUGGGUGCGACAUAUGCCAAUGGAUGGCUUAUCAUGGUGGGAGUUGA
rnacentral:rRNA from 1 species